GGCUCAGGACGAACGCUGGCGGCGUGCCUAAUACAUGCAAGUCGAGCGGACAGAUGGGAGCUUGCUCCCUGAAGUCAGCGGCGGACGGGUGAGUAACACGUGGGCAACCUGCCUGUAAGACUGGGAUAACUCCGGGAAACCGGGGCUAAUACCGGAUAAUUCUUUCCCUCACAUGARGGAAAGCUGAAAGAUGGUUUCGGCUAUCACUUACAGAUGGGCCCGCGGCGCAUUAGCUAGUUGGUGAGGUAACGGCUCACCAAGGCAACGAUGCGUAGCCGACCUGAGAGGGUGAUCGGCCACACUGGGACUGAGACACGGCCCAGACUCCUACGGGAGGCAGCAGUAGGGAAUCUUCCGCAAUGGACGAAAGUCUGACGGAGCAACGCCGCGUGAGUGAUGAAGGUUUUCGGAUCGUAAAACUCUGUUGUUAGGGAAGAACAAGUACCGGAGUAACUGCCGGUACCUGAC
rnacentral:rRNA from 1 species